UGGGGAAUUUUGGACAAUGGGCGAAAGCCUGAUCCAGCAAUGCCGCGUGUGUGAAGAAGGCCUUCGGGUUGUAAAGCACUUUUGUCCGGAAAGAAAUCCUUGGCUCUAAUACAGUCGGGGGAUGACGGUACCGGAAGAAUAAGCACCGGCUAACUACGUGCCAGCAGCCGCGGUAAUACGUAGGGUGCAAGCGUUAAUCGGAAUUACUGGGCGUAAAGCGUGCGCAGGCGGUUUGCUAAGACCGAUGUGAAAUCCCCGGGCUCAACCUGGGAACUGCAUUGGUGACUGGCAGGCUAGAGUAUGGCAGAGGGGGGUAGAAUUCCACGUGUAGCAGUGAAAUGCGUAGAGAUGUGGAGGAAUACGAUGGCGAAGGCAGCCCCCUGGGCCAAUACUGACGCUCAUGCACGAAAGCGUGGGGAGCAAACAGGAUUAGAUACCCUGGUAGUCCACGCCCUAAACGAUGUCAACUAGUUGUUGGGGAUUCAUUUCCUUAGUAACGUAGCUAACGCGUGAAGUUGACCGCCUGGGGAGUAC
rnacentral:rRNA from 1 species